rnacentral:piRNA from 1 species
AGCAACUGGCACUGGUGGACCUCAGA